rnacentral:lncRNA from 1 species
AGAAGAAUUGCUUGAACCCAGGAGGCGGCGGUUGCAGUCAGCCAAGACGGCGUCACUCCAGCCUGGCAACAGAGCCAGACUCCAUCUCAAAACAACAACAACGAUUCACGAAUGAGAAACACCCAGUCCUGGCUUGUGGUUUGUCAACGGAAAAAGCCAAGCUAUGUAAAAUAAAGAAGUUUAUUAGGAGCCGAAUAGGAGAGCCGUUGGCCGAGGGAAACACAACCCCAAGCAGCCUGGAAUCAUGCUUUUUGUGUUGUGUGUGAAAUCUUAUUGCCAAAUCAAGGUCGUCUUGGUUUUGACAAGUGUGAAAUUGACCCAGUGGCUUUUAAGGAUGUGGCUGUGAACUUCACCCAGGAGGAGUGGGCUUUGCUGGAUAUUUCCCAGAGGAAACUCUACAGGGAAGUGAUGCUGGAAACUUUCAGGAACCUGACCUCUUUAGGAAAAAGGUGGAAAGACCAGAACAUUGAAUAUGAGCACCAAAACCCCAGGAGAAACUUCAGGAGUCUCAUAGAAGAAAAAGUCAAUGAAAUUAAAGAUGACAGUCAUUGUGGAG